AUUGAGCCUAGCCUGACGGGGCGAAAAGCGGAAAGCCUUACCGCCUGGCUCAAUCUACUAUUUAAGGU
ncrna:Yersinia pseudotuberculosis IP 31758 int-alpA RNA